GCCGUGAGGUGAAGCAGCCCACAGCCCUCCUGCAGCAAUCCUUCAGGUGACAUGGCGGUCACGUGCCUGAUGGUCAGCAAUGUGAUUCCAGGCCACUGCUUCUGGAGACUUCCACUGCCCCAGCUACAGGACAGAGUAAGAUUGCACUGACCCUGACCAUAUCUCUGGUUUGCCUGGAGCGCACUGAAGUCGUGGGAUAUUGGGCAGCACAGCAAACACACAAUAAUCAGCACUGCAGUUAUAAUGAAAUACCUCAGUGAAGGAAAAGUGGAUUUCUUUACCAAUAACUGGAUUCUGCGAAGCAGGCUCUCAAGUCAAGCUUGGCAUCUUUUCCUUGUGGCUUUGAGAUAAGAUCACCGCAGAUGGAAACAAGUCCUCUUGGUCACGGGCUGCUGUCCAUGCAGAGCCCAGAUGGACUUUUCACUCCGGAUGCAAAACUUAAUGCAGAUCUUCUCCUGGUAUAAAUGCAAAAUAAGCCGAUGUAUGGAAAUCUGUUUUGCAGAAACCCAAUUUACAGAUAAGAAAUUCAUUUCCUGUAGUCAGGAGCUAUUCAAAAGGAAGUGGGGGUGAAAGCAAUUGAAAGAAUUUAAAUAAUUUCAAAUAAUUGCAUUUAGAUAUUUUCUUCCUCUCCAGAUAUCUUACUAUCUAAUCUCUUACAUUUCUAAGAAGUAGUGAUCAGGCAUUUAGUUUGCCCAUAGCUGAUAUUCUGUGGAAAGAUUUCAACUAAAAGACAAUAUAGUAAACCGUCUGGAAUAAAGUCUUCAGAAAUGUGAUUAGGAUUUAGUGGUCAUAAAGCACAUCUUGUUUUCGGAGGAAAAAAUUUAAGUGAUGAAAAUGCACAUUUCAUGUCAGAAUUAACCAGCUGACAACUGGACUUUAAAGGCAAAAAUCAUUCCACCGCAAUCUUCAGCCAAAGUCUUCUGCCUGAAUAUUAACAUUGCACUCUGAUAAGAGAAACACAAAAGCCUGAAAGUACUGAGGAGCUCCACCAUGGAAGAAAAGCGAGAGCAAACCUUGCAUUUUGGUGGGCUCACUCCUGGUUUCUGACUUCGUUGUGCAGGAGGGGUGUAAUAGCCUGAGUACAUGGGGGCUUCUCCAAAGGAAAAAGCAAACACAGCAUUUGGAGCUGCUUUGUAGCAGCAAAUGGAGCAGUGAAUGGCAGGAUCACUCUUGGUGCUAUUUGAUUCUUAGGGAAAAAGAAAAAUGUGCACACUUUGUCUUUUGAAAGAGCAAUUUUCUUUCCAGCCUUUUGGAGAUAGGAAUGGAAGCUCUUAAGGUCAGAGAAUGAGAGGGACAUUAAAUGUAAAGACUGAUGAAGGAAAGACAGCUUUCAGGAGGAUGGUUUUGACAACACAGGAUGUGUAAUGUGCUUUUAAAUGUAAAGGUGGCUAAUGAGAAUUUCUUGCUUCUGACUUCAUGAUAGGAGUAAAUGGGGGAGUAAAUGGGAGUGAUACUGUGAAAAAAAAUGGGGAAGUCGUACUUGCAGUCAGAGCAAUGUACAGCCUGUUCCCCAUCUUUCGAAGGAAAGAAGGAAUUUGUUGCUGAAAGACUGAUCAGAAAGUGUACUUGGUAUAUGACUCAAUUUCAUUUUCUAUGAGAAAUCUUGUCUUUUCAACCAAGCAAAAAGAAAGAAAUAGUUUGUGGUUUAGGAAUGCUCAGCUUUUAAUGAAAUAUUUAACAUUUUCUUGGCAAAGGAAAGAAUGAAAGAAAUCCCUAUCCAGAAGACUGUCUUUUGCCCUAAGAACAAGAACUCUUCUCUCCCCCAUACCAAGUUUCUAGACAGAAGUGAGAUAAAAAGCCACCUCUGAUGCAUUGGGCAUGCAGGGAUAGGAAGCUGCCGUGGGCUCACAGAAGUUAAUUCUCCAGUCACAGAGCCUCUUAGCCCAUUUGAUUACUAAUGUGGGAAGCGAAGGCUGCGAAAGAAAAGAGCUCAAGGAUACUUAGUUCAGGCGUUGGCUGCCAUGGAGGUUAUUAUUUAGCCUAUUGCGGGAUGAUUUCAGUUGAUCACCUGCCCACAAAUGUGAGGGAACGUAAAUCUGGAAUUUGUGAAUUCAUCUGUUGUGUUUUGACAGGAGAGAGGCUUUUGGCAGCCAGCUAGUGGAAAUAAAGUCUCUCUCCAGGGCGCAGAGCCAUGUUGCAACUGCUAGAGCGUAUUUAUGCCCUCUCAUCCAUGCGUUUCUGAGAGGCAGCAGUUCAACCAGCUGCAGGGCUCUACAUUGGAAGCAUUGUUUUCACAAGAGGGAAAAGUCCUUCAGCCUGAGAGAUGGAGUCAUCACAUAAUUGUUUUAGAAAAGUUUGCUAUCUGCUUUUGUACUAGGCUCUUUUCAGGUAGUUUGGGAGGAUGCAAACACAAAACCUCAGUAAUUGACUUUAGAUCAGGUCUAAUCCUUGAUGUCAUCAGUUUUGUUUCAUGCGUGGGAAGAUUUCAUCCUUUAGGGGAAAAAAACCCCCACCAAUGUAUAAAACAAAGUACUUUUCAGUUUAAUUAAAUCUAUG
ensembl:lncRNA